rnacentral:lncRNA from 1 species
UUGUAUGUAUAUAUAUGGUACUCUAUUCCUUGAAAUAAANCAUCAGAAUUAUUCUUUAAACUUUAAUAUGGUAUCAAGAGCCAAACACUGAUAUCCUCUACAAUAUAGGAAUUAGUGUCUCUCUUUUUGAAUAUUUCUGAUGGCUUCUUCCGAAAAAAAUCAUUCGGAGAAACAUGAUUUUGGAACUUCCGCUGCUACCCAUAUGCAUGAAUCGCUCACCCC